rnacentral:lncRNA from 10 species
UGUGUGAACAUAUGUUUUCUGUUCUCUCGAGUAUAUAUCUAGGAAUGGAACUGUGAAGUCGUAUGGUAACUGUUUAACGUUUUGAAGAGCUGCCAGGCUGUUUCCCACAGCAGCCGCACCGUUUUACAUUUCCACCAGCGAUGAAUGAGGGUUCCAGUUGCUCCACCAUCGCCGUACAUUUUUGAGUCAAAAAUAGCUUUCCAGCACUUGGCUCAGCAUCUUACAUCUGAAGCUGAAUUACAGAGAUGGGCAUGUUUCAUUGUAAAGUCUUGUCCAGCAGUCUCCUGGCAAAGGCAGUGCUUCAUUCUAGAAUGAAAUGGCCAUUUACAAAGUACCAAGUUGCAAAGGGCCCAAUGGGAGACUCCUUGGCCUUUGAUGUAUCUUGCCUAAGGGAGCCUGCUCUGCUGGGUAGCUUCAGGGCACUUGACGCCAGCCCCAGUCCAUCAUUCUGGGCUGGCUGCCUCGUACAGCUUCAACCAAUGCUAGUUUCAAUCCU